CAGCAGCCGCGGUAAUACGUAGGGUGCGAGCGUUAAUCGGAAUUACUGGGCGUAAAGCGUGCGCAGGCGGUUAUAUAAGACAGAUGUGAAGUCCCCGGGCUCAACCUGGGACCUGCAUUUGUGACUGUAUAGCUAGAGUACGGUAGAGGGGGAUGGAAUUCCGCGUGUAGCAGUGAAAUGCGUAGAUAUGCGGAGGAACACCGAUGGCGAAGGCAAUCCCCUGGACCUGUACUGACGCUCAUGCACGAAAGCGUGGGGAGCAAACAGGAUUAGAUACCCCCGUAGUCCCUGUCUCUUAUAC
rnacentral:rRNA from 1 species